ACCCCCACCCCACCACCAGCAUGGAAAAGUUGUCUUCCACGAAACCAGUCCUUGGUGCCAAAAAGGUUGGGAACCACUGUCUUAGACAACCAUCAUUUAGCAAGAGCACUUUAAGUUAGGUAAUGCUGUUGUAAAUGCUCACAUGCCUUGGAAGAUUAAAGGCACUAUCAACUGUUUUUUUAAAUCUCAGGUCUCAAAAAAGAAAACAAAAUAAAACAGAAUCUCAGAGAAGUGAGGUGUUGUGCCCAAAACCACAUAGCUGUUACUUGGCAAUGCUAGGCUUCAAUCGAAGUCCUCUCUCAGUCCAUUACACUACAUGGUUCCUUUCUGAACUAUCCUCCCGUCAAGCUGACCAGCAUUCACCGAAGAAGCAGCUAGAGAACAAUAGAUCACAUCGGGUAAUUGCAUGCCUCGGCCACACAGGGAGCCCAGGCUCAGUCUUUCAGGGGUCAAAAGAGAAAACCAGUUAGGGACUUGGCCUGCAAGAGCUUCCAGGAGAGCAGCCAGAGAUGACACAAGAACAUUCUGUGGUCACCCAGUGGUGUGCAAGAAAGGAGAUCCAGAAUCCAGGACACAUUCUUAACCAAGUGGUUCACCCUCUAGGGAGUUCUUAUCUUGGUGAUAUGGCUUAGACUGUGGGCCCCCAAAUCUCAGGCUGCAAACAGGUAUGGUCCCUGGUCCUUUAGGAACCAGGCUGCACAGUAGGAGGUGAGCAGCAGGCAAGGGAGCAUCACUGCCUGAGCUCUGCUUCCUGUCAGAUCAGUGGCAUUUCUCAAAGGAGCGCAAACUGUAUUGUGAACUGCGCACAAGGGAUUUCAGUUGCAGGCUCCUUAUAAGAAUCUAACGAAUGCCUGAUGAUCUGAGGUGGAAAUGUUUGAUCCCAAAACCAUCCCCCCUGCCCUACCACCACCAUGGAAAAGUUGUCUUCCAUGAAACCAGUCCCUGGUGCCAAAAAGGUUGGGGACCACUGGCUUAGACAGCCACCUUUUAGCAAGAGCACUUUGAGUUAGGGAAUGCUGUUGUAAAUACUCACAUGCCUGGGAAAAUUAAAGGCACCAUCAACAGUUUUUUCAAUCUCAGCGGGAAUUUGUCUAAUCAACUUCCUUUUUCCCAACCCUAAAUUGGAAUUAACUGAAUAAGUAGGCUUUUUUAAAGGGGAAGAGACAACUUUGAAGGAUAGACCUGCAGAUGAAGUGGGUGGGCUGGUGGGGUGCUAACCUCCAAUGAGGUAGAAAGUGGUCAAUGAAGAGCACAGAAGUGAUAGCCUAUAUGCCCUCUGUCGGCCUCCAGCUCCCCAUCACUCCUGUCCAUUUCAAUGGCAGUAGAUCCCCAGUUGACCAGUUGUCUCCCUUCCCGGUGUUCCUGCCCUAGAGUAGACCUCUGUUACCUCCCACCUACAACUGCUGUCGUAGUUGCCUAAGUUGCCUCCUCCCUUGAGUAAAAAGAAAAUGAGCUCCUUGGAGACUGGCCACCCAACCUCUUUUCAUCUGUGUGUUAGGUGUCUGCAGGGCUGGUUCGUUUCUAGAGGCUCUAAGGGAGAGUCCUGCCGUUUCCAGCUUCUAGAGGCCUUCCUUAUUCCUUGACUCAUGUCACCUUUGCUCUUCUGCCUCCAUCCUCGAGUUGUCUUCCUCUGUCUGAUCGCCUGCCUCUCUCUUAUGAAGGCCCUGUGAUUACAUUAGGACCACUCAGACAAUCCAAAAUAAUCUUCCCAUCUCAAGAUCUUUAAUUUGAUAACAUCUGCAGAAUCCCUUUUGCCAUAAAAGGCAACAAUCACAGAUUCUAGGAAUAAGGAUGUGGACCUCUUUGCUGGGACAUUACUCAGCAAACCACAAUUUGUUUUCCCAUUGCACAUGGUUGGCUUAGUAGAUAGCAUUCCUUUAAGUGAAAAGAAUAGAGUGGUGACUAUGGGAGUGGAGGAAGAGAUGGAUAUCAGAUGCCACCAUCUGCUAAGCACUUACCAGGCAUUGGGUCUGCUGGGACACUGGGAGGAACAGGUAUCAUCUGUCCUGGGGAGGGGAUAUGGGAGAGAGGGUCACAGUCCCAUGCGGGAGAUGGACAUAUCCUCAACUGAUUAUCACACACACCACAGUAGGAAGUAAAUGACAUCAAUUCUGACUCAGAGGAGUGGGAUUUUAAAAGAUGAGUGGAAUCUGAGUAGUUUCUGCCUGAAGGGAAGAUAUUCCAGACAGAGGUAACAACAUAAAUCAAGGUAGAGCAGUAAAAAUGGUAUGCCAGGAUCAACAUUCUCAAAAGGGAACAAAGGUGACAGGACCUAUCUACCUGAACUAUGUUUACAGGAACAAAUGGCUAGUUGAGUGACCAUUCUAAAUCUUCCAGGAAAAAGACAGUGGUGAAGAAAAUGUGUCCGCUUAAAUUCCAGACUGAUAAAUGAAGGGGAAUCUCAUAAGAGCCACAUUUAAAACCAGCUUGUCCUUUUUGUUAUUUUUGUUGUGGCUGUUGAGAAAAAACUGGCCCUCCGUCAGGGAAUAAACUUAUUUCAAGAGGAGAGAAAAUGAGGUACCUGGGGCAACUGUAAACCAGAGUUUCAUAGUUGACCCAUUUAUUUAUAAUUUUAGGAAAUUUCAUCUCACUCUGUCCCAGGGAUGAUAACCAGAAGAAUGUUUACUGUUUCAAAUCCAAGUUUUAUUUGAGGUGAAAAACUUUGUAAUGUUCCUUCUCACCUGCUUCCUGGUCACGCUUCUAUUCCAUCCUAUCUCUUUUUCUUCCAGCCGUCUCUUCAUCUUUGUCAUUCCUCCAGUUUGAGAAAUGGCAGAGCAGAUAACAGAUCUUCCAUCCUUGCCAACUCUACUCCAAGGUAGCUUCAAGCUCCGCCCUCUAUGCUCCCGUUCCACUAAGAUGGCUGUUCUCACCUCAGAGCAGUGUCCUCUCCCCCACCUCCCCACCCCGACCUCCACAUCUCCCAGGAGACCUCCGAGUCCCUUGGAGGUGGGCCUUUCAGUCCAGUGCCCACAUUGUACCUACAAGAUUCCAGAACUCCAAGAGCAGAGAAUACUGGGUUGGGGCAAAAGUAAUUGCAAUUUUUGCCAUGAUGGCAAAAUAAUUCAGCCAUUGCUUCUGCAGCUGGUAGGUGCUCAAACCAUUUUUGUCUUGAGUGCCUGAAAAGCUGAGCCCAGAAGGGAGUGGGACUGGGCUGAUGGUCAGCCACAGCCUGAGGCCGUUCCUAGCCUUGUGUUCCCUCAAGACAGAAAUCAUCUCCAGUACCCCUCACUGAGCAGCUCCUCUGGCAACACUUUGCCAUGACUCCCUUGACGCUGGAGUGGGAUGUCAGGCAUCAUGAAAAACAAUGCAGGAUGUGAUUUAAUAAGGAGUAAACACCUGCCACAGGUACAUGCUGUCUUCUUCUCUUGUAAUUUUAAGAAAUUUAUAAAAUAAUAUUAUAAUAAAAAAAUAAAAUAGCAAAAGUAAUUGUUUAAAAAGAAAACCAACAAUAUGAUUUAUAAAGUCCCUUCCCACAGCGUUGCAGCCCUGUGUGUCAGUUAUCAGUCUAAGGAGAUUCAUCUAGUGCGGUAUGGUAGAGCUUUCCCCAAAGAUGGAAACGUGCUAAAUCUGUGCUGCCCAGUGUGCAGCCACUAGCAACACGUGUCUGUUGAGCACUUGAAUGUGACUGGUGCUACCCAGGAACUGAAAUUUUAAUUUUAAUUAAUUUAAAUGUCCUUGGCACAUGUGGCUAGUGGCAGUUACCCUGGAUAGCACAGAGACCUUUCUCUGUGUGCUUACUAAAAAUUCACAUGGAGAUUAAUAUUCUUUGUUCUUUUCCCUCAAAAAUAAAGUUAUAUCAUACACAAAUUCUGAAAUAUGCCAUUUUUCAAGUGAGAAUAGACCUUGGAGAGCUAUCUAUUUUGUAAUAACUUGACUUCUUUCUUUUUAAUCACUGGAUGGGAUUCUACUGAAUGGGUGGUUUCUAAAGUAUUAAUUAUUUUUAAAAUAAGAUAUGACAUUCUUGUGGUUUAAAAUGUAAAAGACUCUAAGGAGUAUAGCAAAAAAUUUCCCUUCCAUCCCUGACUCCAGCUUCUCUGUUCCUCUCCGCAGAAGCAAAUAGUGUUAAUUUUCUUGGAAAUCCUUCCAAAGAUAUUUUGUAUAUAUACAAUCAAAUAUACAUACUUUUUAUUUUAAAAAUGAUAAUUUAUUUUACCAUUUCUCUGUGUAUGGCACUUUCUCUUUUUACAAGUUCCUGUAAGACUUCUCUUAUUAUCUAAAUAUUGAUGACUUAUCUAUUGAAUAUAUGAGCCAUGUAUCAUUUUCAUUGAUAAUUUCUAUUAUCUAUAACUUGUUAAGUGUCAAUAAUGGCUCCUCUUUGCUGAAGGAAUGAGGGUAGAAUUUGCUAGCCCACAUACUUCUAAUUUUAGUUUAAACUUGUUUUCCAGUAUUCGUGAGGGAUUUUGUCUGGUCAAUUGAUAUUCUGUCAGCUGGACAGCUGGAGUUUAGGCCCUGGGGUAAAGCUGAGGCUGAGAGCAGGGAAGAUUUAGAAGCUGUCUGGCCCACAAACUGGCAUAUCCAUGCAUCUUGGUCACAGCGGUUAUCCAGGCCAACCUGCCGCAGAUCACAGAGACCCAGGAAGAGUGGCAAAAGCAGGUGAAACAGAGGUGGCAGCCUAAACUGAAAAUGUAUCCUGAUGUUGAGUAUCUACAUUUUUCCAGAUACAGUACCCAGAGUACAUCUUAAGGUAAGAUCAGAAAAACAUUUAUACUCAUAGGUUCUUAUAGUGGGCAAAAGUAGACUGUCUUGACAAGAGCUUGCCAGCAGUGGCACUCACUAAAUCCAUCAAUGGCUUUCCAAUGGGUGCAAGGCAAACACCAACUCCAUCAACACCAACAAGGUUUACCACCUUGACACAUAGACACCUGCUUCCCCUGCAGCCUCAGUGGACACAUCUCCUAACCAGAGCAUUAUCCCUGGUCACACUGUAUUUCUCACGGUUCCUCAAAAGUGCCGUGCUGCUCUUGCCUCCAAGUUUUUGUACAUCCUUCUUCCUCUGUGUGGAACACUCUCCCCAACUCUCUUUUUAGCCUCACCUUGGGCCUUGCCAACUCCAACCCAUCUUUUGGACCUCAGCUCGGAUGUCUCAUCCUUCAGGAUGCCUUUCCUGGUCCUCCAGAGAAACCGUUAGGUGUCCUUGGUGUGUGUUCUCAUUUCAUCCUGUACUUCACCAAUGCUGCUCUUAUCAUCCUCACCCCCACCCCCUCCCUGCCUCAUCCUAGACUCUGGAUGAUCCUGGGUCUUCUCUGUGAGAGUCAGGAAGUGUAUCUUCUGGUGUUUAUCAUUUUAUUGCUAGUGCCUAGCAUAAUGUUAGUAAGUAUGUGUUGACUGAGUGGCUGGGUCCAGAGAAGGGCAAUGCUGUCUUAGGAUUGCCUGGUGGUGAGGUUGGGGUGGAGGAGUGUGUUCUGUAUGAGUGUUUUGCACAAAUGUGUCUCUGUCCGUCCAAUGUGGAGACUGUGGAGGUGGAGAAGGGACCCACUGGUGGAGGCCAGAGUUGUCUUCAUUCUGCAGAUAAUCAUCUUCUGAUCUUAGGCAAAUCAUCAUACUCUCUGCUUCUCUAUUUCUUCAUCUAAAAGGGGGCUGAGAAUUAGGUGAGAUAAUAUAAGCAAAAGGACUUUUAAAAUAGAAUAUGAAUACUAUGAUUAUCCUGAGGUUUAGGCACUUGUGUUCAGGAAGAGCUAAUGGCCCCAGAGCCUGUAUUUACUGAUAGGCUAUGAAUGAAUGGGCCCUUGUAAACAUCCCUCACUGCCAUAUUGGAAGGAAAUUGGGAGAGCUAUUUUCCUGACAUAACCCUCCCCCCACCGUUGUGCCUCCCCACAGCCCUGACAGCUUCAGCCAUCUGCUACCAGCAGAAGUCCUUCAGGGCCUUCUAGUACAUUAUCCAGGUGCAUAGCUGGGGAUCCCCAUGGGACCCCCUUUCAUGCAAUGCCAAGGUAAACACAGUGAUAAAUGAACUUGGAGCUAACAAGUCAUUUUAGAGGUGAGAGGAUCUUGGAAAAUCUCUAUCCAAACUUGUUAUUUAACAUGCAGAGAACCUGAGGCCCUGGGUGAGUAAGUUGCCUGAAAAGUUGCAGCUUGCUCAUCACAUUUCUGGCUGGCUGUUUGUGUUGGUUAGAAAUCACAGGCCAGUGUGCUUCUCAGGACCAGCCAGCAUCGAGGACCUCUGAGAGAGUAGGUGGAGGAUAAGUUGAUGGUGCUUUUAGAAGAGAUGACUUCCAAAAGUAAGACUACCUCACAGCUUAUGAAAAAUAUCAUUUAUUAUACAACUAGUUACAAGGAUGACAUAUAUUUAACAUCAUAGAAAGAUGUUCAAGAACAUAUUAAGUUUAAAAGUUUACAAAACAGCAUGUACGCUGUAAUUCCAUUUGAAUAUAUAUAUAAGAAAAAGUGGAGGAAAACACUCAAAAACAUUAGCAAGAGCUUUCUCUGGUUGGAUGCUUUUCUCUUCUGUGUAUACUGCUGUUACUGUGUUGUCUGAAUUGCUUUUUGUAACAAUAAACAUGUUUAUACUUUGAAAAACGAACAAGGUUAUUUUCAUUUUAUAAAACAUAUAUAUUCCCUAAAUUAUUUCAACUUUCUUGUACUUUGAUUUCAUUUUUAUCAAAGAAAUUUUAUUAUCUGCAACGUACUCUUCUCAGUGAGGCCCCCAACUAUGACAAGGCCAAACCCAAUUCUGAACUUCAAUAAAAAAUAAUUCAAUUGCCAUUUGACAUUACAAAGUCAUCCCCUCUGAAAUUAGCUGCAGAGCACAGAUCACCUUCUAGUGAACUUGCCAAAUUCAGGUUAUGAUUCUGCCAAGGAAAAGACAAGACCCGGCCUGUGAUGACUCUGCAAAGGCCCAGCUUCCCGCCUGCCACCCGCUGAGGCCUCGCUAAGACAUCAGCCUGACCCACAGUCCUUAUGGGCACUGCUUGGGACUUGGGGUAAAGCAGCCUUACAAACCUUUGGUGGUGCAUGCUCAACUCUCUGUUGUGUAGAGAUAAAGAUCUUUGGUUUGGUGCAAAAGGGUGGCUAGCUGCUGCUGUGGAUGCUGGCCAGCAGCUGACAAUAGUAAGAGGCUUGCACAAUACAAACAGAGAAUGUGAAACAAAUUUUAUUUGGUUUGUAAAAGUGAGGUCCAAGUUAAUAGAAGGACAGAGAACUUGCCAAAAUGUCGGGGUGGGGAAGAAAGAGAGUAACCCUUAGAUAGCACAUCACAGAGUAUUCUUAUAAAUCACCUCAUUUCUUCUUCAAAAUACUACGAAGUUGUGAUGCAGGUAAUUAUUGCACACGCUGUAUAAUGAGGGCACUGAUAUUCCUCAAGGACACUAUGCUGGUAACACCAAAUCUGUGGCCUUUACUACUACCUCCCUAGAUGCAAGAUCUAUGUACACAGCAUGUCUGCUUAAAGCUCUGGAUGGGAAUCAGAGCUAUGUAUUAGUCAGGUGACCUUGUAGCAUUAUCUUCAUCUUUCUGAGCCUCAGCUUCCUCAUCUGUAAAAUGGGAUCAAAAUACCUGUCUAGCUUGCGUUGUGGAGUGGGGAUCUAACAAGAUAAUGGGUGCAAAAGUAGUUUGCUUUGAAAAUAGUGGGUUGUUAAAGGAAUAUAAAGUAUGAUCAAUCUCCCAGUACAGUACUGAGGGAUAUAGGUUGAGAAUAACCUUCUCUAAACAGAACUGUUGUUUUAGAACUGGAUAAACUUGAUACAGCCUACAAAAAUCUAACAACCCCCGCUAUUUCCCUAGGAAGCCAAACCUAUUUUCACACCCCUGUCCUAUGUAGGGUACACUCAGCUCUGAAGAUAGGUAAUCAGGUUGCUGGAGUGAGCUUGAGUUGAGGGAUCUUGGUGAAAUAGUUGCUGUGGGGCCCAUACUUUCAUCUUAAGAAAUUGUGUUUGCCUGCUUAUUUUAAAGGAUGGUUAAGUACAAAAACCUCAAGUCUGUGCUAUGGGUGAGAGGCCUGAAGGGAAAGCUCUAGGGUUCCCCAUCCUGCUUCAGCCAGAGAACUCUGCUUCUUUAGUGCUGUUUUAUGCUGUGGGGUGAAAUUUAUCUAAACAAAGCACUUCAUGAUUUAAAAAAAAUAAGUUGAAAAUCACUGCUGCUUGAAUCUGCAAAUCAGCAAAACUGCUUUUGUGCUGCAGGUCACCCACCCAGCCAACCAUUUAUCCCCCAUGUCCCGCCUGUCUUUUCUCUGCCUGACCUCACUAAUACCUGCUUUCUGUGAUCAGGCUUACUCCAGAACCUUUCCUCUGGGCAGUCCAGGUGUUUGGUUUUGCAUAAGGUAUUUUGUAAAUAGCCUGCAGAAUACAUAUGCAAAUUCAUGUGUAUUUUUGUUUGAUAAAAAAUGCUCAGCACUAAUACAUAAUGUGAUGUUUUAUGUUUUGUAUGUAUGUCACGUUUUCAUUUUCAAUAGAAAUAGUAAAGAAAUAAGGCAGAAUUGAAGGGCUGGUAUUAAUUCCACUUAAUACCAGCAUUUCUAUGAAUAGUUCUCAGCCUUCCUGCCACUAUGAGUAUAUUUUUCAUUUGAAUGCUAGCAACACAGAAUAAUUCCUACCACUACAGAUAUAUCCCGAUUAUUGUCGAAGGAAAGGGAAGAAAGAAGAAAUGAGAGGGAAAAAGAAAGGAAGGAGCAUAGGAAGAAUGGAAUUAGAAGCUGGUACAGAAAAGUAUGAGGUAAUUUACAAUUUUUGAAGUAGCUGACUAAGUGGAAGUACUACCGUGACAUGGGGUAAGAUUCUUCCCUUAGCCUCAGUUUGCUUAUCUGGAAGCUGAGGAAUAUGGAGAUAAAAAUAUUUGCUUUGCUAGACCUAAAAGAGAUGUUGUGAUGACCAGCUGAAUUAGUGAAUAGGAAAGGGACUUUUAGUUAAAAAGGGAAUUGCUGUUCUUUCAGUUGAAGAGUCUUGUCAGUUUUUUCAUGGUUUUUGAACAGAUGAUCUGAAUGAUUAGGAUCUUUCCCUUGCUCUAUUUAAUUUUGGAGCACCACCCAGGGAGAUUUAGUGAAACUUG